UGUACGGCGGAAGCGCUGCUGGGGUUCUCCACUGGGCGCCGCCAUUAAGCGGCGGUGCCGGUGCCUCCCUAUGGCGCUGCCGGUGGAGGAAUGGCGGCGCUGCGCCGAGCGGUGCCGGGCAGCGCUAGGGCCGGUGCUGAGGGAACGGCUGGAGGCGGCGCCGCUGGGCGAGGCGCUGCGGUUGGGCUGCGGCCUCCUCAGGCCGGGAGCGGAGGAGGCGGCGGCCCUGCAGCGGCUGUGCCUCAGGGCGAGCACCGGCAAGGAGCCCGCGGCCGCUCGCUGGUACCGGCAGGAGGGGAACCGGCGGUUCGGCCGCGGGUGCUAUGGGGAUGCUGCGCUGCUCUACUCGCAGGCAGCGUCCCAUGAGCUCCCCGGCAGCCCCGAGGUGUCCCUGUGCUUCGCCAACCGCUCUGCAGCCCUCUUCCACCUCGGCCACUUUGAGGUUUGCUUGGAAGAUAUUGCCAGGGCUCAGAGUCAUGGCUAUCCGGACAGACUGCUGCCCAAGGUCUUGCUGCGGAAAGUGGAAUGCCUGCUGUGCCUGGGGAGGGUGCAGGAUGCUGCAGACGCCCUCGCUGCAGUGGAGAAUAAAAUUGCUGUGGAUGGGAUUAUGACUGGUGCUGAACACCAGACGCUGCUGAAAAAGUUAAAUCAAUUGAAGCUUAAAGUACGUGAGAGAGAGAGCUGUCCAGAGCCUGCACGAGAAGCGUGUGGUGAUGCUCAAAGAGAGUCAGAGAUCUGGGAAGAGAACGACAGUAUUUCGGGUGCGUCCUCAUCUUUGAGCUUGAAGUUCAAUGCAGAGAAAGGACGUCACUUGGUGGCCUCACAGGACAUCCUGCCGGGACAGAACCUGUUGAAAGAGGAGGCCUUUGUAAGCGUGCUCUGCCCAGAAGAAGGGGAGAGCCACCUGCUGCAGGACAGCAGUGAAAUGGUGUGGGAUGCUCAAGUCACUAAUGCAGAUCUGUAUUGCCACCGCUGUCUGAAGCAGCUUUUAGCCUCUGUGCCUUGCCGUGGGUGCAGUUAUGCGAAGUACUGCAGCCAAAACUGUGCAGAUACGGCGUGGGAGCAAUACCACAGGACAGAGUGCUCCUUGGGAGGGCUGCUCCUCACGUUAGGGGUCUUCUGCCACGUUGCUUUAAGGACUGUUCUACUGGCAGGAUUUUCAGAGGUUAGCAGGCUUGUGGAGCAGUCCCAUGAUGAUGAUGAUGAUCUUCCUAACACCAAGACAAGAUGUAAACAUCCCAGUGAGGCACCAGCUACAAGAACUGGAUCCAGAGCUAUCCCUGGUUGUAAUGAUAAUGGCCAGUACCAGAGUUCUUACCGAGCUGUGUUCAACCUCUUGCCACAUGCUGAGAAGCAUAGCCCUGAACACAAGUUCCUCUGCAUGCUGAGUGUAGUGGCUAUAUGCAGAAAACUGCAAGAAGCCGGUCUGGAGGCUGCUGUUCUGAAUCAGGAAUCAUCUGAGAAGGGAUCCGGACCGAAGGCAUGUGAAAAAACAUCUGAUGAGCUGUCUCCAGAGCUGCAGAUUAUGGCAGAAGCAAUGCUGAGGCAUGUGUUGCAGCUGCAAUGCAAUGCACAAGCGAUCACCGUAAUGCAGGAGUUGGGGUCUGGAGAUGGUGCUGUUGUAAAUAGGAAACCUGUGCGCCUGGCAACAGCCUUCUUCCCUGUCCUCAGCCUUCUGAACCAUUCGUGCAGCCCCAAUAUCAGUGUGUCAUUUAGUGGGACAGCUGCCACUGUCAGGGCCUCACAGCCAAUCUCAAGCGGCCAGGAGAUUUUCCAUUGCUAUGGGCCUCACCGAUGUAGAAUGAAGGUUGCUGAGAGACAACAGCUGCUCAGUCAGUAUUUCUUUGAGUGCCGCUGUCAGGCGUGCCUUGAGGAGUUAGAGUCUGACAACAAGAGUGUGGUGUCCAUGAGAAACUCAUUCUGCUGUCCUAGCUGCCAGGCUUCAAUGCAGGGGGAAGACGUGCUUUGUUGUUCAAAUGAAGCUUGUGCGCGCUCAGUCAGCAGAGAGAGCCUGUCACGGCAUUUACGAGACCUUCAGCGACAAAUCAAGCAAGCAUUAGAACUGCUAAGAGACAGCAAGGCUGAUGAGGCUAUCAAAAUGCUCCUAAAGUGUCAGAUGGAUGCUAGAAACUUCUUGUCACCGGAGCAUUUGCUGAUGGGAGAGAUGGAGGAUCAUCUGGCACAGGUCUAUGCUACUCUUGGAAAGUGGCAGGAAGCAGCCAGACACCUAGAGAAGAGCAUUCAGAUUGUGGAAAUGCAUCACGGGCCAUCAAGUGUAGAAAUGGGUCAUGAACUCUUCAAACUGGCACAAAUUCUCUUCAAUGGAUUUGCAGUUUCGGAAGCUCUGAGCACAAUUCAAAGAGCAGAGAAGAUUUUGACAGUGCACUGUGGUCCUCAGAGCACUCAGAUCCGGGAACUACGAGAGAUGAAGACCUGUCUGUUAGAGCUUCCCAGAAGCAUUCUUCAGAGGACUUAAUUUCCCUAUCAAAGGAAGCUGCAAUGUGAUCUUUCAUCAAAGCUAAGUUUUGUGUGGGCUUCUACGAAACAGCACCCAUGAGCUCAGACCUCUCUGUGCCUGCUCCAUCCCACAGCACCACUUCCGAGGCAUCCUGCGACCACCAGCCCUCGAGGAGUUGCAUAUCGCCAAAAUUGCUACCAUUGCAAAGAAAAAGCCUCUUCCCAGCUGCAGCACAGGUACCAGAAAGGCAGAAAAGGGGAAAAAAUUCCCCAGUCACCAAGCACACAUCAACCCCGGUGGCAAAGAGGUGCCCUGGGAUGCUGCUGGCUGCCAACCCUCGCUGCCAUCGCUCACCUACCUGGUGGGCGCCGCGCCUUUUCACACCUGCAGCAGCACCGUUCAUUUUCCAUUCCCCAGCUCCCCAAGAGCUCCCCAGCAUCACCCCUGCACCCUUCACACCCCUGGCACUCCCUGGCCGCUGGCUGCCGACACAGGUCAGCGCCAGCAGCCCGAGCUGCCCCUUACCUCGGGCUCCUCUCGGCCGCCGCUGCAGCAGCUUCCCAGCGGGUGCGAGCCGGGGCCAGUGUGAGCUCAACGCAGCCACAUCUGCUUUUUGCUGCCUCCCCAGCCCAGCCUUCGGCUGGCUUCAGGUUACAGCUUCCCAGGGUGCUCUUAAAGUGCUCUGCUCCAAUUUUCUCUUGCUGUGAUCCUCUGGCUGGGCUGUGCGCGCUUGUGAACCUUCGCCUCCAAAGCCAAUGUGCGCUCUGUGAUAAGGGCAGUCCAGCGGCUAAAACAGGACCCAGCCAAACGUUCAGCCUUGUUCUUCCCUGCGGCGUUUGAGCAAGCCUUUUAUCCCCUCAGUUCUGCCCCAUGUCACAUGAGAGACUUUCUCCCAUCUCGGAGGUACCGUUAUUGCAGCGGUGUUUGAAGAUUUAAUGGAGAGGCUGCUAAAGUGGAAGCAGGAUCCAGUUUAAAGCAGUUAAGGGGAAGAUAUUCAGAAGUGGUUCUAUCCAUUGAUAGUUACUAGUUAACAAGUUGUUAACAUAAGUGGCUGGAAGUUUUUUUGGCCAUAAAAAAGGAAAAAGAAUGAAGAGAAUGUUGUCGGACCUUAUAGAACAAUAAGUGGUCUGGAGAAGGGAAGGGGCACAGGGUAAUUGUUAUUUUUCAUAGUAGAAGAGUCAUGGGGAACACUCAUCAGUAUCCACGUAUCUGCCUAUUUAAAACACCAGUGCGUUUUCCAGAAGUAUUAAGUUGUAAAGCUUACAGUAACUAGAUAUUGCAGAAGAUGGAAGACAUGGAUUUAAAAAAAAAAUAGUGGAAGACAAGUCCACUGCAUGCUGACGGCGGUCAGAUAUAAUAUCGAACUGAGCAGCUGAGAGAUGCAACGAGAGCAGUUGUUUUUCUCUGUCCCUACUUACACGUUCUUAGUGGUUUUCUGAUUUUUUUUCCCCCAGUCAUUUGUUACUGGGAGAGACAGAAUACUGGGCUGAACUGACACGUAGCUGGCCCGAGCCACUCCAGCUGUUUGUCUACUUGGAAAUGCUGGAAGUAAACCAUGGCCAAUAAUAUCAGUGCCCACAGUUUAGGUUUUUAUUGAGACAUCUUUUGGGGCUGCCAGCCUUGCUGCAAACAGGUAAUGAGGAAUUACUCAUGCCUGCUUGCACUGGACUUAUACAAUCCCUCAGAUAAUAGGAAAGGACGGUUUUGGAGAAGCAUUGGCAGCUGUUUCUGCAAGCAGAAAAA